UACGGGGGGUGCAAACGUUGCUCGGAAUUAUUGGGCGUAAAGCGCACGUAGGCGGUCCUGUAAGUCGGGUGUGAAAGCCCCAGGCUUAACCUGGGAAGUGCACUCGAAACUGUAGGGCUUGAGUAUGGAAGAGGGUCUCGGAAUUCCGGUGUAGAGGUGAAAUUCGUAGAUAUCGGGAGGAACACCAGUGGCGAAGGCGGAGACCUGGGCCAAUACUGACGCUGAGGUGCGAAAGCGUGGGGAGGCAA
rnacentral:rRNA from 1 species